UUACUGUUCGAUGAUAAAAAUAAAAAAAAAAUUGAAAAAAAAAAUCACUUUUUGUCCCCCCUUCCUGAACAAUCAAAGAGUUGGUCGAAGCAGUGAGGCAUAAAAGAAUAAGAAUCACGGUUACAGUUUGAAGGUAAUCCUUUCCAAAGAAGAAAACUCUUAUGAAUAAAUGAAGGCCCUUUUAGAAUAAAGGGACCGACACCUCCGAUAGCUGGAGGAGGAAAAAAAUGAAAAUAUAUUCCUAAAAAAAUGGAUAAAUAGCAUUACUGCGAACAAAUAAAAAGAUGUGUAAAUUGACAAAACGUCUCUUUCCCGUCAACAUGAAAACUGGAUCAAUAAAACUAGAUAUUCAUCUGUUUCUAUAGACCGAGCGCAGGUUAAACAUUUACUAUGAAAGGAACAAACAGUUUGAGCAGGAGGCCUCCUUUAAAUACAAAUUUUCUCUUACUGCCCUCAUAUACUUGAGAACUAAAACUCGGAGCGGUACCAUAUUUCUAGCUCUGGAUUCUGGAUAAGAACGCUUUUUGGAAUAAACCACUGAUUUCUAUUUUCUGAAUAUUACUGCUAAGAAGAUACUCAGAAUCUUCAGCUUCUAAAUACUAUUAUUAAGAUGAUACUCAGAAUUUCCAGCUUUUGAAUACUACUACUAAGAAGAUAUUCAGAAUUUUCAACUUCUGGAUACUACUAUUAAGAUCAUGCUCCAAAUUCCCAGCUUCUUGACACUACUACUACGAUGAUAUUCAAAAUUUCCAUCUUCUGAAUGCUACAACAAAGAUGAUACUCAGAUUUUCCAGCUUCUGAAUUCUACUACUAAGAUGAUACUCAAAAUUUCCAGCUUCUGAAUG